CUGGCUCAGGAUGAACGCUAGCUACAGGCUUAACACAUGCAAGUCGAGGGGUAGCAGGAUCUAGCAAUAGAUUGCUGACGACCGGCGCACGGGUGAGUAACACGUAUCCAACCUUCCGUUUACUCGGGGAUAGCCUUUCGAAAGAAAGAUUAAUACCCGAUAGUAUGUUUUUCCCGCAUGGGAGAACCAUUAAAGUUUUUCGGUAAUCGAUGGGGAUGCGUUCCAUUAGGCAGUUGGUGAGGUAACGGCUCACCAAACCUUCGAUGGAUAGGGGUUCUGAGAGGAAGGUCCCCCACAUUGGAACUGAGACACGGUCCAAACUCCUACGGGAGGCAGCAGUGAGGAAUAUUGGUCAAUGGACGAGAGUCUGAACCAGCCAAGUAGCGUGGAAAAGGAUGACUGCCCUAUGGGUUGUAAACUUCUUUUAUAUGGGAAUAAAGGAGCCUACGUGUAGGUUUUUGUAUGUACCAUACGAAUAGGGAUCGGCUAACUCCGUGCCAGCAGCAGC
rnacentral:rRNA from 1 species